UGGGGAAUAUUGCACAAUGGGCGAAAGCCUGAUGCAGCAACGCCGCGUGAGUGAUGAAGGCCUUCGGGUUGUAAAGCUCUGUCUUUUGGGACGAUAAUGACGGUACCAAAGGAGGAAGCCACGGCUAACUACGUGCCAGCAGCCGCGGUAAUACGUAGGUGGCAAGCGUUGUCCGGAUUUACUGGGCGUAAAGGAUGCGUAGGCGGAUUUUUAAGUGAGAUGUGAAAUACCCGGGCUUAACUUGGGUGCUGCAUUUCAAACUGGGAAUCUAGAGUGCGGGAGAGGAGAAUGGAAUUCCUAGUGUAGCGGUGAAAAUGCGUAGAGAUUAGGAAGAACACCAGUGGCGAAGGCGAUUCUCUGGACCGUAACUGACGCUGAGGCAUGAAAAGCGUGGGUAGCAAAACAGGAUUAGAUACCCUGGUAGUCCACGCCGUAAACGAUGAGUACUAGGUGUAGGAGGUAUCGACCCCUUCUGUGCCGCAGUUAACACAAUCAAGUACUCCGCCUGGGAAGUACGAUCGCAAGAUUAAAAACUUAAAAUGAAUUGACGGGGGUC
rnacentral:rRNA from 1 species